GACGUAGGAGGCGAGCGUUGUCCGGAUUCAUUGGGCGUAAAGAGCGUGUAGGCGGUCCGGUAAGUCCGCUGUGAAAGUCGGGGGCUCAACCCUCGAAUGCCGGUGGAUACUGUCGGGCUAGAGUGCGGAAGAGGCGAGUGGAAUUCCUGGUGUAGCGGUGAAAUGCGCAGAUAUCAGGAGGAACACCUAUUGCGAAGGCAGCUCGCUGGGACGUCACUGACGCUGAGACGCGAAAGCGUGGGGAGUAAACAGG
rnacentral:rRNA from 1 species